CAAUCUUCUCACCCACCUAAGGCAUUUGGCUGCGGCAGGAGGGCCUCAGAGUUCCUACCCGAUGCUGAGUGGGACCCAAGGGAACAGGAUGCCAGGCCUCUGCGGGUCACCCGUGGUGAAAUAAAUGGCCAUCAAGCACCCACUACAUGCGAGGCACUGUGCCGGGCACUGGGACACCGAGGGACUAAACCACCACACCGUCCCCGUGUUCACAGAGCUUCCCAGGAGAAGCACAGGCCUGCCCUCAUUAUAGAAUACCCACAACUGCCUGACCUCUCCAGCACGCUGCUCGGCCGAGGACCUCGCUUCACCUGGCAUAGCAAAGGAUGUGACAACAGUUUGAAGAACAUUUGCUGAGCCCAAUUGGA